rnacentral:ncRNA from 1 species
ACAUUGAUUACGGGGAGCCUGAAAUUUCCAGGCUGAGAGGAGGACGCAAAGUCCUCGACCCGCUGAACCUGAUCCGGGUAAUGCCGGCGUAGGGAGGCACACGCGAGUUAAU